rnacentral:tRNA from 1 species
GCCACCGUAGCUCAGUGGUAGAGCGGCUGAUUUGUAAUCAGCGGGUCGGGGGUUCGAAUCCCUCCGGUGGCU